CCUACGGGUGGCAGCAGUCGAGAAUCAUUCACAAUGGGGGAAACCCUGAUGGUGCGACGCCGCGUGGGGGAAUGAAGGUCUUCGGAUGGUAAACCCCUGUCAUGGGGGAGCAAAUUAAAAAGAUAGUACCACAAGAGGAAGAGACGGCUAACUCUGUGCCAGCAGCCGCGGUAAGACAGAGGUCUCAAGCGUUGUUCGGAAUCACGGGGCGUAAAGCGUGCGUAGGCGGUUUCGUAAGUCGUGUGUGAAAGGCGCGGGCUCAACCCGCGGACGGCACAUGAUACUGCGAGACUAGAGUAAUGGAGGGGGAAGCGGAAUUCUAGGUGUAGCAGUGAAAUGCGUAGAUAUCGAGAGGAACACUCGUGGCGAAGGCGGGUUCCUGGACAUUAACUGACGCUGAGGCACGAAGGCGAGGGGAGCGAAAGGGAUUAGAUACCCCUGUAGUC
rnacentral:rRNA from 1 species